rnacentral:rRNA from 1 species
CCCCUAGAUGUUCUGGGCCGCACGCGCGCUACACUGAACAGUUCAACAAGUCUUAACCUUGGCCGAUAGGUCUGGGUAAUCUUUGAACGCUAUUCGUGAUUGGGAUAGACCUUUGCAACUAUGGGUCUUCAACGAGGAAUUCCUAGUAAACGCAAGUCAUCAGCUUGCAUUGAUUACGUCCCUGCCCUUUGUACACACCGCCCGUCGCACCUACCGAUUGAAUGGUCCGGUGAAAUCUCGGGACGGCGGCUUGGUCGCUUGCGUCCGACUGCUGAAACUUGAUUAAACCAUAUCAUUUAGAGGAAGGUGAAGUCGUAACA